rnacentral:rRNA from 1 species
AGAGUUUGAUCCUGGCUCAGGAUGAACGCUGGCGGCGUGCUUAACACAUGCAAGUCGAACGAGCCUUCGGGCUAGUGGCGGACGGGUGAGUAACGCGUGAGAAUCUGCCCUCGGGAGGGGGAUAACGGCUGGAAACGGCCGCUAAUACCCCAUAUGCCGCGAGGUGAAACGAGUUUUCGCCUGAGGAUGAGCUCGCGUCUGAUUAGCUAGUUGGUGGGGUAAGAGCCUACCAAGGCAUCGAUCAGUAGCUGGUCUGAGAGGAUGAUCAGCCACACUGGGACUGAGACACGGCCCAGACUCCUACGGGAGGCAGCAGUGGGGAAUUUUCCGCAAUGGGCGCAAGCCUGACGGAGCAACGCCGCGUGAGGGAUGAAGGCCUCUGGGCUGUAAACCUCUUUUCUCAAGGAAGAAGAACUGACGGUACUUGAGGAAUAAGCCACGGCUAAUUCCGUGCCAGCAGCCGCGGUAAUACGGGAGUGGCAAGCGUUAUCCGGAAUUAUUGGGCGUAAAGCGUCCGCAGGCGGUCUUGAAAGUCUGUUGUUAAAGCGUGGAGCUCAACUCCAUUUCAGCAAUGGAAACUAGAAGACUAGAGUGUGGUAGGGGCAGAGGGAAUUCCCGGUGUAGCGGUGAAAUGCGUAGAUAUCGGGAAGAACACCAGUGGCGAAGGCGCUCUGCUGGGCCAUAACUGACGCUCAUGGACGAAAGCCAGGGGAGCGAAAGGGAUUAGAUACCCCUGUAGUCCUGGCCGUAAACGAUGAACACUAGGUGUCGGGGGAAUCGACCCCCUCGGUGUCGUAGCUAACGCGUUAAGUGUUCCGCCUGGGGAGUACGCGCGCAAGUGUGAAACUCAAAGGAAUUGACGGGGGCCCGCACAAGCGGUGGAGUAUGUGGUUUAAUUCGAUGCAACGCGAAGAACCUUACCAGGGUUUGACAUCCUGCGAAUCCCUUGGAAACUUGGGAGUGCCUUCGGGAGCGCAGAGACAGGUGGUGCAUGGCUGUCGUCAGCUCGUGUCGUGAGAUGUUGGGUUAAGUCCCGCAACGAGCGCAACCCACGUCUUUAGUUGCCAGCAUUGAGUUGGGCACUCUAGAGAGACCGCCGGUGAUAAACCGGAGGAAGGUGUGGAUGACGUCAAGUCAUCAUGCCCCUUACAUCCUGGGCUACACACGUACUACAAUGCUACGGACAAAGGGCAGCAAACUCGCGAGAGCUAGCAAAUCCCAUAAACCGUGGCUCAGUUCAGAUCGUAGGCUGCAACUCGCCUACGUGAAGGAGGAAUCGCUAGUAAUCGCAGGUCAGCAUACUGCGGUGAAUACGUUCCCGGGCCUUGUACACACCGCCCGUCACACCAUGGAAGUUGGCCAUGCCCGAAGUCGUUACUCCAACCCUUGUGGAGGAGGACGCCGAAGGUGGGGCUGAUGACUGGGGUGAAGUCGAAACAAGGUA